rnacentral:lncRNA from 1 species
AUAACCCUUAAAGUGUUUCUAUUGUCCACUUAAUAAUUCUGUAAAGUAAGUAAAGAUUUUGAUAAUCCUUUAAUUGCUUUUACGUAACUAAAUAAAAUAUAUGUCAAUCAUAUAAAUCUAUAACAUAAAAAGAAAAUAGUUGACCAAUAAAAAGUAACUUUAGAAAAUUCAAAAUUGACGCUUAAAUUUCAUAGGUGAAUAAAAUAAUUCCAAUCAGCACGUGAAGUUGGGGUUAAAAAGGGAAGACCGCAACCUCCCAACAUCACAUAUCACACUUAAAUGUAGAUAGCUGUUUGGAAUAAAUAAUUGAAACAUCAUUGUAUUUUAUUCACCAGGUAUGUAAAUUGUUAACGUAUAAACUAUUUUCAAUUGAAUUUUAAAAGUAAGAAUUUAUCUUCUGAUUUAAUAACUUAGUUUCGUAUUUAAAACUUAACAUAAAUUUGUAAAAGAUUUUCAUUAAAACAAAUAAGUUAAAACAAAGUUUACUAUUUGAUCAAUAGAUCACAUAUCACACUUAAAUGUAGAUAGCUGUUUGGAAUAAAUAAUUGAAACAUCAUUGUAUUUUAUUCACCAGCGCCGGCCUCGAAAGGAGAAAGUGUCCGAGAUGAGGGACUCGCCAGAAGAAGGCAUAACAUAGACCUGAACAUGAGCGAGUUAGUAUUCCCCAGAUUCUCCGAAAGAAGCUAGAAUCCCCAUAUACAUAAUAGCGAGACAAAGAAGUCCCCAGUGAAAGAUGUCAGUCCCCCGAUACUUAAGUGUUAUUAACGUUUUGGAGGGAAAGGGGAGACAACCCGACAGUGA